CCUUCCAGCCCGUACCACCAUCCCUCCUUCGCUCAGCCGCGCUCCCCACCCCUCCGCCUGUCAUCCUCGCUCCCCAGCCAGCCCCUUCCAUCGCCGAUGCUGCAUGCAGGAUUUCCCACCCGCUCCCAGCCCAGCCCAGCCCGCCUCUCAUCCCGCGGGACGCGCCAGAGAUUCAACCUUUUCUGCAACAAUGGGCCGGGACGCUCGUCGUAGCCUGACGCGCUAACGUCCUCUCCUUUUCCAGCCUUCAAAUAUGAAUCAUGCGUCUGAUGCUCCAGCCGAGACUGCUCGCUAGCAUCCUGAUAGCCCUGCUGCAUUCCCCUUCCUCAGCAUCGACGGUUUCCCCCCACACGCAGAAUGAGGAGGAGCCGAUGGAGCGCAAUGCCGGCAGGACGCGGCGAGAGCACGGGCACGAGGUGGCCAUCACUUACCCAUCACGCCUCAUCUACUAUCUGAACGAGGAGGCGGAGAGCGCGCACCACGACUUGGAUACUCGCGCACGCAACCAGGCCGAUGGCCAGGCCAUUCACUUAGCCGAGACGAGCUUCCAGCUGGAUGCCUUCGGCUCCACUUUCACUCUGGAUCUCACGCUAAACAAUGAUCUGCUGUCUUCAGAUUACGUGGAGAUCCACUAUGAGAAAGAUAAGCCAGUUCUGUCGAAGGGAGGGGAGCACUGCUACUACCACGGUAAAGUGAGAGGGAACGAAGCCUCUCGAGUGGCUCUGUCAACUUGCAAUGGGCUUCGUGGGAUGUUCGACGAUGGGGUGUUUGUUUAUCUCAUCGAGCCCUUGAACCAGACUCACUCCAUGGAGACGGAGUCUCGACCUCACACCUUGCGCCGGACGUCAUCGCUCCGUAUGGGCCGUGACCCAGCUGAUCUGGCUGCUGAGGACCAGGGUAAGGAAGAGGAGGAUGAAGAGCAGAUCUUCUCCGACAUGCCUUGGCUGAGGAGGCGUAGGAAACGAGCGGUGCCACAGAAGGUAUUUGAGGAAAUGAAGUAUCUGGAAAUUAUGAUCGUCAGUGACCACAACACAUUUAAGAGGCAUAACAGCAAAAAACACACCAGGAACUUUGCCAAAUCAGUGGUCAACCUUGUAGAUGCUAUCUUCAAAGAGCAGCUGAACACGCGUGUGGUGCUGGUUGCCGUGGAGAUCUGGACAGACAGAGACAGGAUUCCUCUUAGUGUGAAGCCUCUGGAAAUGCUCAGAGACUUCUCCAAAUAUCGACAGCAGAACAUCCGCAUCAAUGCCGAUGCUGUCCACCUCUUUACGAAUGUCACGUUUCAUUAUGGCCGGAGCAGCGUGGCCUACAUCGGCGGGGUGUGUUUAACAGGCCGAGGAGUGGGUGUUAAUGAGUUUGGCAGCACAUGGACGAUGGCUGCCUCUCUCUCUCAAAGUCUGGCGCAGAAUUUGGGCAUCCAGUGGGACCCUGUUACCAGGAGAAAAGAGUGCGGCUGCAUGGACUCAUGGGUGGGAUGCAUAAUGGAAGAUACGGGAGUGCAGCAUCCUCGCAGGUUCUCCAAAUGCAGCAUCACUGACUAUAAGAACUUUCUGCUCAGGGGAGGCGCCUCCUGUCUGUUUAACAGACCCAACAAGCUCUUUGAGGCUACAGAGUGUGGCAAUGGAUACGUGGAGGUUGGAGAGGAGUGUGAUUGUGGAGCCCGGAUGGAGUGCUAUAAAGACUGCUGUAAGAAGUGCUCUCUGUCUAAUGGUGCUCACUGCAGUGAUGGGCCCUGUUGUAACAGCACCUGCCUGUUCAUUCCACGGGGGUACGGCUGCCGCUAUGCUGUGAACGACUGCGAUAUUACUGAGACUUGCUCAGGAGACUCAGGACAGUGUCCUCCUAACCUUCAUAAGCAGGAUGGCUACCCCUGUCUGCUUAACCAGGGCCGUUGCUAUGGAGGCGAGUGCAAGACCAGGGAGAGCCAGUGCAAGUACAUCUGGGGUCCAAAGGCAGGGGGCUCAGAGAAGCACUGCUAUGAAAAGUUAAACACUGAGGGGACAGAGAAAGGAAACUGUGGCGUAGAUGGAGAGAAGUGGAUCCCCUGCAGCAAACAUGAUGUGUUCUGUGGGUACCUUCUGUGCACCAACAUCGGCAGAAACCCCCGGAUUGGGACUUUGAAAGGUGACAUCACCCCCACCACUUUCAACCAUCAGGGGCGACUGGUAGACUGCAGCGGCGGCCGUGUCCUCUUGGAUGACGACACUGAUCUGGGUUAUGUGGAGGACGGGACGCCGUGUGGCCCCUCCAUGAUGUGCCUUGACCGGAAGUGUCUGCCCAUCUCCUCCCUCAACCUCACAGCCUGCCCUUCAGGACCCGAUGGGCGUGUUUGCUCUGCACAUGGCGUGUGCAAUAACGAAGCCACCUGCACCUGCGACUCCACCUGGGCGGGAACAGACUGCAGCAUGCACGACCCACCGAAAGAGCCACCUGUCGUUGAAGACGAAGGUCCUAAGGGUCCUAGCGCCACCAACCUUAUCAUAGGCUCCAUCGCGGGGGCCAUCCUGAUGGCAGCCAUAGUGCUGGGGGGGACGGGAUGGGGAUUUAAGGUGAGAGUAUGAGCGAAGAGGGGUGGAGGUUGUGUUGUAGGCAGCCUUUGUACCAUGGCUGGCUGCCACGCCCUCUUUACCUCCCGGAAGGCCCUGGGGCCCCCAGAAAACCUAGAACAGAGCAAGACCCCUCACCCCCCACCCGGACUCGCCCGACACUGCUGCCUUUACUGCCUGCUUCACUGAGACCUGAAAUGUCAAGAAAAGACGAUACGAUGCCAAUGCCAGCGCUAUCUAGAAGAGGACUCGAGACUGCGGCCUUGCCUAGUGUCUCAUGGGUUUUGACAGCAAGCUACCUGCUGGACUGUACCCUCUCCUGCUGCUAACAGCCAGUUAGCAUUACUUGAAAAAAGAGAAAAGGAAAUUAAGGAAGAGGCAAAGAACAAUAGAUCAUUUUCCACCUAAAGUCAUGCACCCGACGCCUGCCCAAGACCCUUAGUCUCAUACACGAUCUUUGACCCAUCACCUCAAUGACCAGCCAUGGAUACUGCUUUCCCACUCCGAUCAUCCUGACCUUCCCGUUUUUAAACUUGGCAUGAUCAGCCCUGGCUGUAGCACUUGCAUGGCAAAGGAGGGUCACCAACUCAACGCAAAAAGCUAAAAAUGAAGAACGUAAUUCUAUAAAUAGAUCUAAAGAAGAGCAAACUAGAGAUGAACCUGCAUUGAAUACGCUGCAUCGAUCAAAGAACCAAUGACAGGUGGGACUCCCCUCUAGUGGUCUCAAGGCCUGAAUGGGCCUCCGCUGCCUGACCUCACGGAAAAGACUCAUGCUGUAUUGAGACAAAAGACGAGACUUUGAUCUCCUUGUCUCAGCUUCAUUUUACAUGGACGUAGAUUUAAACUGCUUUUUCUUUCCAGUUUUAGCAUGUUGUAUUGCAGGAAUUUUCUGCCAUAUUAAUGAUAAAAGAGGAAACCAAACAAAGUCAGAAUCCACCAAUGUGGCCAGCGAGUACACUAAACUCUGGCGUAGUCGACACACAGAUAAACAUGCACGCACACACACACACACACAUACAUGCACACAUACACACAAUUAUAUAUGCCUGGUUAUGUCAAUAACUGCUCCCCUUAUAAUGUCUUAUACUGGCUGGGUCUAGUGGCCCUGUAGGACCACCCUGUGCGGAAUGUUCUUUCAGCUAAACCGAGAGCUGCAUGAUGUAAUUGCACUGGGGGCGGAGCCCACUCAGCCUGCCGCGCUUCUUAAGGUAACUGCAUGUCAAAGGAAAAAAAACAGUUAACUUUUACUUACUAUGCAAAGGGGAAACAUCGCACAGACCCUAUGGAUCGGUAACCAUAGAGAAAUGAUAACAACUGCACAGUUGACUCUAUCAUGCUACCAUUAGGCAGUCUUUUAUAUGCUUGGCCAUGACUAUGUUGGUCUUUUGAAUAAACUUCUAAAUACUUAAGAAUGAAUGUUUCAAGGAAAACUUCUAAAAUGUAAUAUUUGUUGCCAUAGUCAUAUUUAUGGGACAGCAAAAAUACAGUGAGUAAUCGGUAGUAGACUAUCGAGUGGACUGGCCCGGUGUCCUAGAGGGAAGGGGGUUUAUUUUGGGAUUAACAAAUAGGGGAAGAUUUCAGGGGAUUUUCUCCACUGGCAAAGGCCACUUGAUGUCCAUUCUCAUCUCCACAAGCCCACCCCUUUUACAUUCAUCUCAUGUUCCCAUGGAAAUAUUUACAAAACAAUAAAGAGGUUGACAAAAAACUGA